ACGGCCAUGUCGAGUUGAGACCCCCGUCUCUUAUACGAUAAUCAAAGUUAAGCAACGUCGAGCCUGGUUAGUAUCUAGAUAGGUGACCGUUUGAGAAUACCAGGUGCUGUAAG